UUUUUUUUUUUUUUGGCGGGGGGGGGCCCCCCCUGGGCGUUCUCAGGCCAGGGGGCAAAUCAAAGCUGCAGCUGCCAGCCUACACCACAGCUCACAGCAAUGCCAGAUCCCCAAGCCACUGAGCGAGGAUUGAACCUGCAUCCUCAUGGAUCCUAGUCAGGUUCAUUAUCACUGAGCCAUGACAGGAACUCCUGUGUCUAAUUUUUAAGUGUAGUAGUACUAAAUCAGUUUUUGAUGAUGGUGCUCUAUUAUUUUUAUGCAUAUUAGCAAAUGAACUAAAUGUUUAUUCUUUUUCAUUCUGGUCUCUAAUUUUGUAUUUUCUGUCAUUUUGCUAAUUUUUUUAACAUUUUGUUUGGAUUUAUUCUGUUCAAUUUCCUUGUACAUUAUGCCUCUUAUCAAUUCAGCCUAAUUUAAUAUUUACCCCGUACACUAUAUUUCAAGUUUGUUUUCAAUUGUUUGAUUUUUGUCUGACUCUUUUCCAAAUAUGCUUGUCAACCUUAUAAUUCCUUGUCUUUGCACAUUAUUUUUAUUUCCUACUUUCCCCUAUAUUGACUCAAACAUUUAAAAUGCAACUUCAAUAUCUAAAGUUCCUGUGACCUCUAAUAUCUUGUGACCCUUUAUCUUGGUAGCAUAGUUCCUUCUGUGCUUCAUAGCUUACAGUUUGGUUCUUACAUUUGGGAGCUCCCACACUUUGCAUGUCUCAAACCACUGUACAUACCUGUUUACUCCAGUGGACCUGGGACAAGACACUUUGCUGCCACCAGGGAGAGAGCACAGAGCACAGACUUUCACUUCUAUUACUCUUCUGAAUCUUCCUCCUGCCUCAUUCCUAUUUCUAGGAAAUUUGGACAUUUUCUUUUAUUUUAUGUAUAUAUUGUUUUUUGGCCACUCCCUUGGCAAAUGUUUAAGUUCCUGGGCCAGGGAUCAAACCUGAGCCACAGCAGGGACCACACUGGAUCCUUAACAACUAGGCCACCAGGGAACUGUAAAAUGCAAAUAUUUUAAUUUUAGCUCUAUUGGCCACUUUCAGGAUUUUUAUACAUUUUGAGACUUUCAGCUUGUCUGCAUUGAAAUAGCUAUUGGAAUAGAUACUUUCUCUCAAAACAUAGUCAUCCAUAUUGUUCACGAGUAAAUACUUCACCUAGACACUUUCUAGCAGACAAGAGUGUCUCAUGAGACAACUGAGUCUCUUGGACACCAACUCCAAUACGCCAUAUAAUAAAAAUGUUUAUAGUGUCAUUAUUUUCUUAGUAUUUAAAGGUGUUUUUAUGUUUUGAAUGUAUUUAUGAAUUUAUAAUCUUCCACUUUAGUGAAUAAUAACUUCCCAUGGCUAGGACAGAUGUUUUCCAAACCAUUAAGUUAGUAUUGGUAAAAGUUCUCUUUACUCUAGCUGUCAUAAUUCCUCCUUGGCACUUCAUUGACACAGUCUGAUUUUUAAUUUUAAUCCAACAGUUCUUUUAAAUGGCUGUAAGUAAAAUGUGUAUGUUGCUAAAUAUUACUUGUUGGUUGCAUAUUGAUCAAUAGUUUCCAUUGCCAUUUCAUGGUUCAAGAAAAUUUGACUUGUAGAAUUUCUGCUUUUAAGAACCAAAUGAAAUUUUUCAAGCCUAAAAGUUUUCUAUUUGAAAAACCUUCUCUGAAAACUGUUAUAAUUUACAUAAAUUUAUAUAAAUCUGUUGCAUUUCUAUACACUAACAAUGAAGUAUCAGGAAAAAAAUUAAGGAAACAACUCCACUUACCAUCAUAUAAAACAUGUAUGAAUAAAUUCACCUAAGGAAGCAAAAGAUCUGUACUCCAAAAACUGUAAGAAGCUGAUGACAGAAACUGAAGGUGAUACAAACAGAUGGAAAGGUAUACUGUGUUUUUCGAAUGGAGGAAUCAAUAUUUUUUAAAUGAUCAUACUACCCAAGGAAAUCUACACAUAAUGCAAUUCCUGCCUAAUUCCCAAUGGCAUUUUUUACAGAACUAGAAAAAAAUUUUUUAAUUUGUAUGGAAACACAAAAGACCCCAACUAGCCAAAACAAUCCUGAGAAAAAAAACUAGAGGACUCAUUCUCCUUGAGUUUUUACUAUACAACAAAGCUGCAGUAAUCAAAAAAUAUGGAACUGGCACAAAAACAGAGACACAGAGCCAUGGAACAGGAUAGAAGCCCAGCAAUGAACCCACACACUUAUGGCUAAUUAAUUUAUGACAAAGGAGGCAAGAAUAUACAAUGGAGAAAAGACAGUUUCUUCAAUAAGUGGUGCUGAGAUAACUGGACAGCUUCACAUAAAAGAAUGAAAUUAGAACACUCUCGAACACCAUAUACAAAAAAUAAACUUAAAGUGGGCUAAAGACCUAAAUGUAAGACUGGAUUCUGUAAAACUCCUAGGAAAAUAUGGGAAGAACAUUCUUUGACAUAAGUGGUGGCAGUAUUUUUUGGAUCUGUCUUCUAGAGUAAUGGAAACAAAAGGAAAAAUAAACAAAUGGAACCUAAUUAAACAUAAAAGUUUUGCACAGCAAAUGAAACUAUGAACAAAAAAAAAGACAACCUAUAGAAUGGGAUAAAGAUAACUGCAAAUGAUGCAACCAAUAAGGGAUUAAUUUCUAAAAUAUACAAAAGCUUAUACAGCUCAAUAUCAAAGAAACAACCUGAGAGUUCUCCUGUGGUGCAGUGGGUUAUGGAUCUGGCAUUAUCACUAAAGUGGCUUGGGUUACUGCCGUCCCUUGGGUUUGAUCCCUGGCCCAGAAACUUUCACAUGUUGCAGGUGCAGCCAAAAAAAAGAGGGAGGGGCAGGAGACCUAAAUAGGCAUUUCUCCAAAGAAGACAUACAGAUGGCCAACAGGUAUAUGAAAAGAUGUUCAACAAUGCUGAUUAUUAGAGAAACGCAAAUCAAAACUACGAGGUACCACUUUACGUCUGUCGGAAUGGAUAUCAUUAAUAAAUCUACAUAAUAACAGAUGCUAGAGAGGGUGUAGAGAAAAGGGAAUCCUCCUACACUAUUGGUGGGAAUGUGAAUUGGUACAGCCACUAUGGAGAACAGCAUGGAAGUUCCUACAAAAACAAAAACAUAACUACCAUAUGAUGUGCAAUCCCACUCCUCGGCAUACAUAUGGAGAAAACCAGAAGUCAGAAAUACAUAUCUACCUCAAUGCUCACUGUAGCACUAUUACCAAUAGCCAAGACAUGGAAGCAACCUAACUGUCCAUCAGAAGAUGAAUGGAUAAAGAAUAUGUAGUAUACACACACACACACACACACACACACACACACACACUGGAAUGUUACUCAGUCAUAAAAAAGAAUGAAAUAAUGCCAUUUGCAGCAACAUAGGUGUACCUAGAGAUUAUCAUACUAAGUAAAGUAAGUCAGAUAGAGAAAGACAAAUAUCAUAUGAUAUCACUUAUUUGUGGAGUCUAAAAAUGACACAAAGGAAUUUACAUACAAAACAGCAAUAGACUCACAGACCACAGAAAACAAACUUACCAUUACCAGAGGGAAAGGGGAGAUAAAUUAGGAGUUUGGGAUUAACAGACACACCCCACCAUAUAUAAAACAGAUAAACAAGAUCCUACUUAUAGCACAGGGAACUAUAUUCAAUAUCUUAUAAUAACCUAUAAUGGAAAAUAAUCUGAAAAAGAAUAACUGAAUCACUUUUCUAUAAAUGUGACAUAUUGUAAUUCAAUUAUACUUCAAUUAAAAAAAUCUUCUGGAGUUCCUGCUGUGGCUCAGCAGGUUAAGGACCCAACAUUGUCUCUGUGAGGACACAGGUUUGAUCUCUGGCCUCACUCAGGGGUUAAGGAUUUGGCAUUGCUGCAAGCUGUGGUGUGGAUCACGGAUGUGGCUCAGAUCUGGUGUAGCAGUGACUGCGGCACAGGCUGGCAGCUGCAGCUCUGAUUUGACCCCUAGUCUGGGAACUUCCAUAUGUUGCACAUGUGGCCAUUAAAAAAAAAAAAAAAAAA
rnacentral:lncRNA from 1 species